rnacentral:rRNA from 1 species
UGGCUCAGGAUGAACGCUGGCGGCGUGCCUAAUACAUGCAAGUCGAGCGAACGGACGAGAAGCUUGCUUCUCUGAUGUUAGCGGCGGACGGGUGAGUAACACGUGGAUAACCUACCUAUAAGACUGGGAUAACUUCGGGAAACCGGAGCUAAUACCGGAUAAUAUUUUGAACCGCAUGGUUCAAAAGUGAAAGACGGUCUUGCUGUCACUUAUAGAUGGAUCCGCGCUGCAUUAGCUAGUUGGUAAGGUAACGGCUUACCAAGGCAACGAUGCAUAGCCGACCUGAGAGGGUGAUCGGCCACACUGGAACUGAGACACGGUCCAGACUCCUACGGGAGGCAGCAGUAGGGAAUCUUCCGCAAUGGGCGAAAGCCUGACGGAGCAACGCCGCGUGAGUGAUGAAGGUCUUCGGAUCGUAAAACUCUGUUAUUAGGGAAGAACAUAUGUGUAAGUAACUGUGCACAUCUUGACGGUACCUAAUCAGAAAGCCACGGCUAACUACGUGCCAGCAGCCGCGGUAAUACGUAGGUGGCAAGCGUUAUCCGGAAUUAUUGGGCGUAAAGCGCGCGUAGGCGGUUUUUUAAGUCUGAUGUGAAAGCCCACGGCUCAACCGUGGAGGGUCAUUGGAAACUGGAAAACUUGAGUGCAGAAGAGGAAAGUGGAAUUCCAUGUGUAGCGGUGAAAUGCGCAGAGAUAUGGAGGAACACCAGUGGCGAAGGCGACUUUCUGGUCUGUAACUGACGCUGAUGUGCGAAAGCGUGGGGAUCAAACAGGAUUAGAUACCCUGGUAGUCCACGCCGUAAACGAUGAGUGCUAAGUGUUAGGGGGUUUCCGCCCCUUAGUGCUGCAGCUAACGCAUUAAGCACUCCGCCUGGGGAGUACGACCGCAAGGUUGAAACUCAAAGGAAUUGACGGGGACCCGCACAAGCGGUGGAGCAUGUGGUUUAAUUCGAAGCAACGCGAAGAACCUUACCAAAUCUUG